ACUGCGAGAUCAUGACCUGAGCCGAAGUUGGACACUUAACCGACUGCACCACCCAGGUGUCCCUCUGUAUUAGGUUUCUAGUGAAAAGGAGCUAUGAUAAUAGAUAGUUGAGUAAUAAAAGAAUGAGAGAAAUAUCUUAAAGUUCAUAGUAGAAAUAAAAUUACCCAAGGAUUUUCUAUAAUCUAUGUAAGUAAUCAUAGUGGUAAAUAGCAAUAAAUCAUGUAUUACUUUUAUGUAGCAUGUUUGUAGGAUUCUUCUAGGUGUUUCACAUGAUACCAGGAUGUGGCCUUCACUUAAUUCUGAAGUUGACCAUUAAGUGAGGAGGUUAAAGUUUUAAAGUACUUAGGGCACAGAAGCAUGUAAGUAUAUUUUCUGUGGUGGUGUCUUGUAAAAAAGUUUGCAUUCUAAUGCAGAUAUGACAGAGACAUGGGCAAGUGUUCUAAUCUCUGUUUUCUAGGUCUCCCAUCAUCUGGAAGAGAUGCCACUAGCUAUGAGAAUGAAUGUCUGCUUUGCUUGGGAUACUGAAACUUAUGCAAAAUUAUUACUGUUCCCUUUCUCAACAUAUUAUGAUAGGUGGAAAGGAUUGGAACCAAGGCUGUACCAGUUUCAGAAUACUGAUGAUAAAUUGGCAUGGUUAUUAGCAAAUGCAAAAUUAUUGGUUAGUAUAUUCUCAGGGGAUCAAGAAUUACCAUGUCAGGUCAGCUUAAGGGAAAGCUCUCUGGUGGUGAUUUGAAGGAUACAGGGUAUAUAUUCAAGAUAAAAGGUAUUUGAAAAGGGAUAUUUUAAGGAAAAAAAAAUCACAGAGAAAGACAUUUAUGAGUUUCAUUGAAGGGAGAAUGGGUUUGACAAGAAUUGUGAUCACAGGGUUUUGUGUGAUGGUAUGCUUAUUUGUUUUAAAAGUAGGCAUGGGAGACGAAGAAACAGAUCUAGAGGAAUAUAGUAUCAGGCUGAUGAUUCACAGGGCUGUUCUAGUACCAUGAACAUAGAAAAACAGGUGUGUUGUGUUCUUUUAUCCUAUACAUAUCACACAGUUCUCAUUAGCGUACUACAGAGGGAUUCUUUUAUCAUGUUUUAUCAAGUCUUUAUGAUAAAUUAUAUAACCAGGGUGCUUGGUGGCUCAGUCAGAUAAGCAUCUGACUCUUGAUUUCAGCUCAGGUCGUGAUCUCAAGGUUCCUAGGUUCCAGCCCACUGACGGUGCAGAGCCUGUUUGGAAUUCUCUCUCUGCUCCUCCCCUGCUCGUGUGUGCACGCUCACUCUCUCCCAAAAUAAACUUUAAAAAGUACUAUGAAUUACAUAACCAGAACUAAAAACUGUGACUUAAAAAUUUUUAAAGAUCUAAAUCAUUAAUUAUCCUGAUUCUGCUGCUUUGUAGCUGAGACACAUUUCUAUGUCCUUUCCAUCUGUUUGGGUACAUGAUAAAAUGAAAAAAAGGACAGUGUUUUCCUGGCAAGAUUUCCAUUUUCUGGGGCACCUGGCUGACUCAUUUGGUGGAGCAUGCAACUCUUGAUCUCGGUGGUGACUUCAAGCCCCACGUUGAGCGUGGAGUCUGGUUAAAAAAAGAAAAGGAAUAGAAGUUCAUGAGAUCUUGAAUUAUGUAUUUGAAACCCAUGUAGAGAUUUCAUCUUUUUUCUUAUGACUUGAUAAAUUUCUAAUAUUUUAUUAGUGAAAAUGGGUUCCAACUUGAGGUUGACAUCCUGUUCUUGAAUUCUAUUAAAAUUCCUUCCCUGAAAACUGCUUGGUACUUUUGCUUGUGUGUCUGGCAUUAUAUCUCUUUUUCAUAUUAGCAUUGCCAUUUAGCAUUAAGCGAAAGCUGACUCAUGUUUAAUUACCAGAGGAAUUACAAAUGAGCACCACAAAUACUGAAAGAAGUCAUUGAUUUGAUAUUCCAGCAAAUACCAGAAGAUGUUGUAAUGAUUUUCCAGUUAUAAAAAGUGAAUUGUCUGUUUAACUGUAGAAGUCUAACCGAAUGUGCUUAAUGCAUUGUAUUAGUCAAUGCAAAAGUUUAAAUAUAUCCAGCUGAAAGAAUGUAUUGUCAUGCUUAUACUAAAUGAUUUCUUUGGGAUUUAACAGAUGCAUUUGGUAUCUUAUACUUAAUAUAGGAAUUUAUGGAAGGAAAAGCAGCUAAAGUUGCUUUGGCAUUGUACAUAGGUUAUAGCAUGUAUUAUUUUAUUUAUUUUUUUAUUAAAAACAUUUUUUUAGUUAUGUAUUUUGAGAGAGCACAAGAGCUUGAUCCAGGGAGAGGCAGGGAGAGGGGAAGAAGAAGAACCCCAAGCAGUCACCACAGAGCCUCAUGCGGGGCUUGAACUCAUGAACUGUGAGAUCAUGACUUGAGCCAGUUAAGAGUCUUGACACUUAACUGACUGAGCCACCCAGGUGCCCCUAGCACCUAACAUUUUAGUAAGUGCCAUAGAUAGUAAUUUAAAACUAGGGCCAAAAUAGUAGUUUUCAGUUAUUUGCCUUAAUUUUUUUAAAUAUUUAUUUUGAGAGAAAGAGGUAGAGAGAGAGAGGAAGAGAAUCUCAAGCAGGCUCGACAGUCAGUGCAGGGCUGAUGCAGGGCUGGAUCUCAUUAGCCAGGAGAUCAUGACUUUAGCCGAAAUUAAGCAGCCAUCCAGGCAUCCCUGCUUAAUUUUUAUUUUUACCAACAGUGUUGAGGUAAGACAUAGGAGGUAAGACAUAUCUUGAGUUGUGUGUCUUCGUAAUAUUAAUUUGGUCUCAUCUCAGGGUGCGUGGGUGGCUCAGUUGGUUGAGAGUCCCACUUUGGCUCAUGUCAUGAUCUCACAGUCUGUGAGUUUGAGUCCUGCGUCGGGCUCUGUGCUGACAGCUCAGGGCCUGGAGCCUGCUUCGGAUUCUGUGUCUCCCUCUCUCUCUGCCCCUCCCUCACUCAUGCUCUGUCUCUCUCUGUCUCAAAAAUAAAUAAACGUUAAAAAAAAUAAAAAAAAAAUAAUUUGGUCUCAUCUCAUGAAAUUCCAAUUAUUUAUCAUCCUUCUCUGACAAUUACAUUGAUUUCAAAGAGGAAUUUGAAUUUUCUGUCUGUUUUAUGGAAUUGAAAUACAAAAUAGCUCUUCAGAUUUAAAGUUGUAAUAGAAAACAUCAUUGAUCAUGUUUUGUGACUAUUUUAUUUUUUUUAAUGUUUAUGUACUCUUGAGAGAGAGACAGCAUGAGGGGUGGGCAGACACACACACACACACACACACACACACACACACACACAGAAUCUGAAGCAGGUUCUAGACUCUGAACUGUCAGCACAGAGCCUGAAGGCACUUCAACUCUGGAACAGCAAGAUCAUGACCUGGGCGGAAGUCGGACGAUUAACUGACUGAGCCACCCAGGCGCCCCUUGUGACUGCUAUUUUAAAUAAUGAUCAUUGGAGAAAUCAGUACUCCUGUGUUUUGUUUUGGGUAACCUUUUUCCAGUGUUGAUUAGGGAGGAGAGGCUUACUUUUUCACCCAUUUUGUAGGUAGUACUGAUCAAAAAUCAAGAAAUUAAUUUGAUGUUUUAGAUCUGGACUAUACAAGAAGCUAAAGUUGAUGCUUACGGGGACAACUGGAUGGCUCAGUCGGUUAAGUGACUGACUUCGGUUCAGGUCAUGAUCUCACGGUUCGUGGGUUCGAGCCCCAUAUCAGUCUCUGUGCUGACAGCUCAGAGCCUGGAGCCUGCUUCGGAUUCUGUGUCUCCCUCUCUCUCUCUCAAAAAUAAACAUUAGGGGCGCCUGGGUGGCGCAGUCGGUUAAGCGUCCGACUUCAGCCAGGUCACGAUCUCGCGGUCCGUGAGUUCGAGCCCCGCGUCAGGCUCUGGGCUGAUGGCUCGGAGCCUGGAGCCUGUUUCCGAUUCUGUGUCUCCCUCUCUCUCUGCCCCUCCCCCGUUCAUGCUCUGUCUCUCUCUGUCCCAAAAAUAAAAAAUAAAAAAUGUUGAAAAAAAAAAAUUAAAAAAAAAAAAUUUAAAGCUUAUGCUUGUGGAUUAUAUGCUGUAGUGUCGGUAAUUUCCCUUGUUAUGAGUAAACCUAGAAGUAAAAUUAUGAGAUAUCUUAAAAGGAGCAAGAGUGGUUGAAAAUUUAAUUGGUUUAGUAACUACUUUAGGGUAUCAUCUACACAAGAGAUACCGAGGGGUAUGUUUACCUUCAGAAUAUUUUCUAGUAUAUACUUAUUUUUAAGAAGGUUGUUAAUAAAAUAAUAUUUGAAUAGUGGCUGUGCUAAAGAGUAUGUGUAUAUUUGUGGAAGAAGCUUUGUUAAUAAGUGGUGGUUUUCAAGGAACUUUUGUUCCAGAUUGAGAGAUAAUAAAGAAAAUAAUAUUUACUACUCAUAAGACCAGCAUGAUUAUCAGAUGAAUAGUAUACUAAAUAAAUACAAAACUCAAAGUAAAUGACAGAACCCUUAAAGUGGGAUAGUUGGGCAUGCCUUUAUGAAGAAAUUAGCAUUUAAGCUAUAUCUUGAAAGAUAGGAUUGCAUCUUUGCAACGAAAAGAAUGGGAGGGAUUCAGUUGGAGAAAACAGCCAGGGCAAAAGUUUGGAAGUGGAAUAAGCAGAAUUGGUGUGUGUGUGUGGGGGGGGUUUGUUUUUGUUUCUGUUUUCACAAUGAUUAAACUAUUGAGCAUAGGGGAAAAAAGUAAAAGCUAAGGCUACAACAGCAAGUUUUAUUUUAAUGUUCUAUGCUGGAAUAUUCUACCUAUUUAAGAUGUUUAAAUGGGGGAUAGACAUCGAAACAGUUUUUCUUAUUUGAAGAUUAAUUCAGUUACAAUGGUGUUAGAUGUGCUAUACAUACAGUUAAAGCUGUGAUAACCAGUCUCCAUUAACCAGAGUUAAUGUGGGGGGGGGCAAGAGAGGGGUUAUAAUGACUGUGAUUUUAAGCUUAGUAGGGGGAUAAGUAAGGACUUUUGGGGUGGAGGGAAAAGUUGGAUCAAUGGAUUAUAAACUGAUGGGAUUUAAAAAUUGUUGGAGAGAUGGGAAGUGGGUGGAGGAUGGGGAAAAUAUAAAAAGCAUUAAGAAUAUACUUACCCUGAUGAGCACUGAGUAAUGUAUAGACUUGUUGAAUCCUUGUACACCUGAAACGAAUAUAACAUAUAUUAAUUACACUUUAACAAAACAAAAAAGAAUUUUUGGAGUAGAGGUACUGGAGUGAACGAGUGGGAAAGACAGAACUUUGUGGUUGGGAGAGCACAGUGUUUGAAAUAGAGAUUAUGGAAGGGUUGAGAUUAUUGGUAAUGACUGGGAGAAUGAAAUGGCUAAAGUAGUUUGGAGGACAAGAUCAUAGGAAACGAAGUUAGGAAAGUAAGACACCAGAGUUUUGUAAAAUCAUCUAACCUGGAUGUUAGAAUGGUAAUAUUGUGCAGUUAUAUACUGCAUGGUUUAAUAAGUGCCCUCAUACACACUCUUAUGUAAUUCUUUUGGCAACUCAGGUAGAUUAGGUAGAAAUUGUUUUGGAGAUGAUGAAACAGAGGCCCAGAUAUUUUAAGUAUUUUGCCUAAUACAGAGCUGGAUUUUGAACUUUAAUCUUCUGAUUCUUUUGGUAGUAUUCUUUCUGCUGUGUUAUAUAGAUUGGCCACUUUUUGAGACGAGUGUUGGUAUUGUCUACGGUACACAAAGCAUUGUUUUGUUUUUUUUUUAACUAUCUUUUUAAUGUUUAUUUUUGAGAGAGACUGAGACAGAAUGUGAGUGGGUUAGGUAGGGGCAGAGAGAAAGGGAGAUACAGAAUCAGAAGCAGGCUCCAGGCUCCUAGCUGUCGGCACAGAGCCCGACGUGGGGCUCAAACUCACGAGGUGUGAGAUCAUGACCUGAGCCAAAGUUGGAUGCUCAACUGACAGAGCCACCCAGGUGCACCAGCAUUGUUUCUUUUUAAUACAAGGUAGCAUUUUCUACCAGUUAACUGGUAGGAAAUAGUUGGUAUGUUUAUCAUUAAAUAUUAUAUUUUUUUUCUGGAAACAUCUUGGUGUUAUAAAUUUAAUUUGGUUAUUUAUGACUUCUUGCUGGCCUAUUCACUGUGUAUAUAGGUCUACCAGACAAUUCCAUUUCCCAAACAUUUAUUGAGUGACCAUGUGUUAGCAUCAUAAAGAAUAAGAAACGAGAUUAAGAAGAAUAGAUGGGGAAAGAGAAUGGUACUUUUACUGGAUACUGUCAAAUUAGGGUACUAUAAACUUAUCCUUGACCACUACACCAUCAAAAGUUGACUGCUGUGAUAUCUAGUGGUGGUACUAUCAGCUGCUAUUUGUUGGGUACUUAUUACAUUCCAGGACCUGGGCCAAGGCAUUUUAGAGAUAUUUAUGUAAUCUUAAGUAACCUUUUAAACCAGGUGGUGGUAUCUCUAUCUUUUUACAGGCGAGAGAACUGAGGAUCAGAGAAAUCGAGACCAUAUAGUUAGAAAACUCAAAUUUGAACCUUGAAUGCUCCUAAGCUACAGUUUUUUUCUCUUGUUUCUGAUUUCUCAAGUAUCUGAUUCAAACUCACUAACUUAUGUUUUAAGACUCUUUUUUUUUUUAAUUUUAACAUUUAAAAAAAGUUUUUGUUUAUUUUGAGAGAGAGGGAGAGAGAGAAUCCCAAAUAGUGUAGAGCCAGAUGUGGGGCUUGAAUUUAGAAACCUUGAGAUUGUGACCUGAGCCAAAAUCAAGAGUUGGACACUUGGGGCAUCUGGGUGACAAGGUUGGCUAAGUGUCCGACUCUUGAUAUCAGUUCAGGUCAUGAUCUCACGGUACUGAGGAUUUAGCCCCAUGUCGGGCUCUGUGCUGACAGUACAGAGCCUGGAGCCACCCAGGUGCCCCAGGUGUAUAUCUUCUUUUCCCUUCUUUGUCCUGCCAUCCUACAGUUUCUGUUGUUAUCUGGACAUGCUAGGCUCUUUUAUUAUUCUUGUUUUUGCAUAUACUCUAACCUGCCUGGAAUUCCUACUGCUGUACUCAAUUUUGUACUCAAUUUUGGUGUCACCUCUGACAUAUUCCUUAGGCAGAGUUAGUUACUCCAUUUUCUGUGCUCCCACAACACUUUCGUAAUAUUUCAGUAUUACAUUUACUUGUAAUAGUAGCAGCUAACAGUAUACAGUGCUUCCUCUGUUGUGUGCACCAUUAUCUCAUGUAAUCUCCCACUAAUGCAGGUCCUAUUACCCCCAUUUUAUAGUGAAAAACUUAGCCAGAUCUCAUGGCUGGCAAGUUGAAGAGGUAGCUUUCGAACCAGUCGCAGCCUUUAAUCACUGUGCUUUUAUCUCUCCUGCUGUAUACUUCUUAUGAUUUAUCUUAUCAUACCAGACUUAGAAUUCCUUGGGGCGCCUGGGUGGCUCAGUCGGUUGGGCAUCGGACUUGGGCUUAGGUCAUGAUCUCGUGGUCCGUGAGUUCGAGCCCCAUGUCAGGUUCUGUGCUGACAGCUCAGAGCCUGGAGCCUGCUUCAGAUUCUGUGUCUCCCUCUCUCUCGGCCCCUCCCCCACUCAUGCUCUAUCUCUCUCUGUCUCUCAAAAAUAAACGUUAAAAAAGAAUUUCUUGAAUGCAAAGUCUUUGUUUUAUUCAUUUUUCUAGCAUUGAGCCAGGGUAUGGCACCUAAAAGUUGCUCAGAUAUUUGAAUUAAUGGUUAAGUAAAGUCAGGUAUGUUAAGGAGAGGCUUAGUCUGAGAAGAAUGUAGACUUGGGGACUCAGCUUCCUGCUGUGCUGUGGAUUAUCUAGGUUGGACUGUUAUUUUCUGUGAUAUCUUAUAGAGCCAGUUGAGGGAUAUUUCAGGUAUGGAGGCUGUAUUAUGGCCAUUUAUAGUUUCACUUUAUUACAUAUUGUAUAUAACCACACCAAUCAUCUUUUAAUUGUGAGUUUCCUUUUCUGUGACACAUCGUACAUAUACUUGUUUUUCUGUGGACUAGGGCAGAAAUUCUUUCAAACUUCUGAAAAGAGCUAUCAUACCAGCCAGUGGUAAAAGAAAUAAUAUAUGUUACUGUGGGUCCCAGAUGAAUUGUUUAACUAUUGUCUCCCUAUCUUUUUGAAUGCCUCAAGAAUUGUUUGUUGUAUUUUCAUGCAUUUCUGAAAAACCCCUAUGGGUUUUUUUUUUUUUAAGUUGGUAAUUUUUCUGUGUUGUGCUUUUUUUUUUUUUGGAAACCAUUUCUUUCUCGUUCUAGUUGAAUUAUCCAGAAAAUUUGAUAUGUCAAACAGGUGUGCAUGUAUUUUUAGACUAGUAUGUGAUAUGCUCAUACCCUUGACCCAGUGUAAUAUGUUUUCAAGUUCUUAGUUGUUUGCUGAGAUUGCUAGCCAAUUAGCUUUCCUACCAAUUUAUGUAGAAUUAAGUUUAAUAAAUGAAUUUUUCUCUGGGUAUUGACUGGUCUCAAGAGUGCUUUAAAAUAAUUAUAAUUUUGUUCCUCUUUAAACCUCACAAUCUAUGUAGUAAUGCUAUAGUGUAAUAAUGUGGAUUUUACAGCUGAGGAAACCAGCCUAGGCCUGGACAGAGGUUUAGUAAUGUCCAGGUGAUACAGCUAGCAGAUGGUUGUGAUUUGAUUUCUGGUGUCUCUGAUAUCAGAGAUCUUUGGUUUUAUAAUUGCAUACUGGAAGCCAUUGUACAUUAGACAGUAUGAUUAUGAAAACAAUACUAAAGAAUUGGGGGUUUUGAGGAGUUGACCACAAUGAUGUUUCUGUCGACUAAGGGGAAAUAAACUUUAAGUAUACUAAUAAAAUGAUACAAUAAUUCCCUAGAAUGUUCAUUUCCUUUUGGAUAGGGUUUUUCCUCCUAAGACAUUUUUAUUCUGAAUUGUUUAGGAUAAUAUUAGAGUUAGUUUUUUUGGAAUGAAUAGAGAGGGGGACGGGGAUGAUGUCUCUUAUUUAUUUGGUGACAGAGGAGGACUGGUUGUGUUCAUAGAUGGAAUAUGAAGCUAUCCUGUAUGGCUCUGUCUGCUAAACACACCAUUUUUUGUCCAUGGUAGGUAAAAUCAGCAUCAUUAUGUGUUUUCAAAUUAGAAGGUCCAAAUUAUGAACAAGUAUGUUGCUUGAGUUGUAAGGUCGGGCUAUGAUUAAUAUUUCCUCUUAGUGACAUUAGAUUAUCUCUAAGAGAAUAAUAAGUACAGUACAACAGAUAAGUUUUGCUUGGGGAUAUUUGAAGCAGAGAGAGACAGGAAUGUCUAUAAUAUGCAGCCUAAUAACCAGAGCCAGGUGCUAAAAGAUAGGGCUAGCAUUGAGUGGUAGAAUAUACUGCCAAAGAUAAAACUACUUUAAACUUGGCUCAUACCUAGUUUAGGGAAAAGUCAGACAGGAUUUAAAACUUUAGUUUGCAUAAUCCUUGUGUUAAAUAAUUGAUUCAUCAGAGAUCUUGGAUCCAGUGACUUUGACUAUGAGUAAUAUUUUUUCAUUAGUUUUUUUUUUGGAAAUUGUGUUAAAUUUUAAUAGUCAUUGUCAGAUGGAAGAGAAUAUCACCUCCUUAUGUCUGAAAUGUUGUGUUUUGUUAUUUGAGAUUGUGAUGUUUAUUGUGAUGUAAACAAUUUUUUUAAUGUUUAUUUUUUGAGAGAGACAGCAAGCGUGAGCACGCAUGAGUGGGGGAAGGGCAGAGAGAGAGGGAGAGAGAGGAUCCAAAGCAGACUCCAUGCUGACAGCAGAGAGCCUGAUAUGGAGCUCGAACCCAUAGAACCAUGGGAUCAUGACCUGAGCCGAAGUUGGAUACUUAACCAACUGAGCCACCCAGGUGCCCCUGUUUGUUGUGAUUUUUAAAGAAUUGUCCUGAUAAUUUCCUCUUCUCUAGUUUUAAUUUUCCCUAUGGGAUUGUAUAAAUUCCAAAAUAGCACUGGUUAGCAAAUAACAAGUUUCCACUUAUAUGGAUAAAUUUAGGGCAGUCCCUGUCUCUAUUUAUAUUUAAAUGAUCAUCACAGCUAAAUUUGUAAUAGAGAAGUUUCCACAUUUGUCCUGUGCUUGGAAGCAGAAUCCUUGACCUAUAAGGAACUAGAGCUACUGUGUAUUUUAAUGACCUGCAAGUCAGCCAGGUUCUAUUCAUUUAUUAUUAGAUCUACCACAAGUUGAAGCUUUUUUUAAAAAAAAUUUUUUUUUUUAACAUUUAUUUAUUUUUGGGACAGAGAGAGACAGAGCAUGAAUGGGGGAGGGGCAGAGAGAGAGGGAGACACAGAAUCAGAAGUAGGCUCCAAGCUCCCAGCCAUCAGCCCAGAGCCCGACGUGGGGCUCGAACUCAUGAACCGUGAGAUCGUGACCUGAGCUGAAGUCGGACGCUUAACCGACUGAGCCACCCAGGCGCCCCUGAAGCUUUUUUUUUUGAGAGAGAGGCAGUUGAAGGAAAGUCUGUUGGGUAUAUGUAUACAUCUGUGUACAUUUUAACAUCUUUUUUUUCUUUAAAGUGAAAUUGCUUCUGAGGUGCCGGGGUGGCCUGUGUCUCCCUCUCUUUCUCUGCACCUAUCCCUCUUGCACUGUCUCUCU